UUUCGGAUUCGACCGUCUGACCCUAUAUAUAGGGCGUCGGGUUCGCCCGACUAUGACGAUAAACGUUUUUCGCAAUAAACGUUCGGACCCGGGGGCAGUACCCGGCGCCUCCACCAAUUAUUCCCGGAUUAUCACGGCUUCAGUCGCGGACGGAACGGGGGCGAAACAGGAUCGACGGGCGCGUAAAGGUUGAACUUUCGUCCGGCAUGGUACCACCGACAUCGGGCCAUAUUCACAGGUGCCAACGAUAAUGUUGAGCCCUUCGCUGUUGCCGCUUAAUAACCGGUAAUAAGCGCGGUUCGGGGGGCACCGGGCAACAGAAGCCCCCCAC
rnacentral:tmRNA from 1 species